rnacentral:rRNA from 1 species
CCUACGGGAAGCAGCAGUGGGGAAUAUUGGACAAUGGGGGGAACCCUGAUCCAGCCAUGCCGCGUGUGUGAAGAAGGCCCUCGGGUUGUAAAGCACUUUCAGUGAGGAAGAACGCCUGGUGGUUAAUACCCAUCAGGAAAGACAUCACUCACAGAAGAAGCACCGGCUAACUCCGUGCCAGCAGCCGCGGUAAUACGGAGGGUGCGAGCGUUAAUCGGAAUUACUGGGCGUAAAGCGCGCGUAGGUGGCUUGAUAAGCCGGUUGUGAAAGCCCCGGGCUCAACCUGGGAACGGCAUCCGGAACUGUCAAGCUAGAGUGCAGGAGAGGAAGGUAGAAUUCCCGGUGUAGCGGUGAAAUGCGUAGAGAUCGGGAGGAAUACCAGUGGCGAAGGCGGCCUUCUGGACUGACACUGACACUGAGGUGCGAAAGCGUGGGUAGCAAACAGGAUUAGAUACCCUUGUAGUC